AAUCAACGCUGGCGGCGUGCCUAACACAUGCAAGUCGAACGCGAAAGUUCCUUCGGGAAUGAGUAGAGUGGCGUCCGGGUGAGUAACGCGUGGGUAAUCUACCCUUGGGUGGGAAUAACCAGUCGAAAGAUUGGCUAAUACCGCAUAAUGCAGCGGCUCGACAUCGAGACAGUUGUUAAAGCGCAAUCGCAAGGUUGCGCGCCUAAGGAGGAGCCUGCGUCUGAUUAGCUUGUUGGUGAGGUAAUGGCUCACCAAGGCUGCGAUCAGUAGCUGGUCUGAGAGGACGGCCAGCCACAAU
rnacentral:rRNA from 1 species